CAACGUAUAAAGAAAGCAUAGGGCGGAUGCCUAGGACAUAAGAUCGGACGUGAAACAUACGAAAGAAUCCGGAGAAUAGUGUAAUGAUCGGAUGUUUCCAUUAGGAAAACCUUCCAAGAAUUGGAGGCCCCACGAUAGGGUUAUAAAGCAAGUGAAGUGAAACAUCUCAGUAACUUGCAAAGGAAUAAAUCAACGGAGAUCUCGUGAGUAGUGGUGAGCGAAAGCGAGUAAAGGAAAUUCUUUGUUCUUAAGGAGAAUACUCUGAAAAGGGUUGCCUUAGAAGGUGAAAGCCCUGUAACCAAAAAGAAUUUAGAAGAAAGAGUAGAACGAAACACGUUAAUUUUGUUCGAAGAACGGGGGACCACCCUCGAACCUUAAACCAGACUUAUGUUUCGAUAGUGAACUAGUACCGUGAGGGAAAGGUGAAAUAGAAUAGGAAGGAGAGUGAAAAAGAAACUGAAAUCUUAUGCUGACAAACAAUGGGAGCUUUAUAGAGAAAGUUACCUUGUACCUUUUGCAUAAUGGGCUAGCAACUUCUUUUUUCUUGCGAGCUUAAGUUAGAAAACGGAGGCGUAGUGAAAACGAGUUUGAAAAGAGCGCAUAGUAAGAAGAAAGAGACUCGAAACCAAGUGAUCUACUCAUGAGCAGGUUGAAGCUUGCUGUAACAAGCCGUGGAGGACCGAACACACGUAUGUGGCAAAAUACGGUGAUGACUUGUGAGUAGGGGUGAAAGGCUAAUCAAACUUGGAAAUAGCUGGUUUUCCACGAAAUCUAUUGAAGUAGAGCCUUUCAUAGUCUUCUUUUGGGGUAGAGCACUCAAUGGAUGAGGGGGGCCAACAGCCCUACCGACUUCAAGGAAACUCCGAAUACAAAAGAAAGAAAUGAAGGAGACAGAUCCCGGGCGCGAAGGUCCAGGAUCGAGAGGGAAACAGCCCAGAUCGUUAGCUAAGGUCCUUAAGACAGUUUUAAGUGCUAAAGGAGAUAUUUGUGCAAUUACAGCGAAGAGGUAGGCUUGGAGGCAGCCAUCCUUGAGAGAGUGCGUAACAGCUCAAUCGCCAAGUACUUGUACUCCGAAAAUAUAUAGGGACUCAAAGAUUUAUACCGAAGCUGCGAAUUCAUAGAAUUGGAUGGUAGUGGAACGCUCUGGAAAUAUUGAAAGUAUUUUUGUGAAAAAAUAUGGUGUACCAGAGGUGACAAUGCUAGCAUGAGUAACGACAAAUAAUGUAGUAAAACAUUAUCGCCGAAAGUUCUAGGUUUUCAGAGAAAGGAUAAUCCGCUCUGAGUGAAUCGGUCUUUAAGAAAAGAAGAGCGAAAGCUCGUUUUAAUAAGAUACUUUUUGUUGUUUAGAAAAAACGUAAGUUUUUUGUAAACCAAUCGUUGAAGCAGGUGGAUUUUUUUCUUGAGUGUAGAGCUCAGAAUGGAUUCUAUGUUUUCGAGAAAUACAUGAUUAGCAUAAAACCGUACUAAAACCGACACAGGUGAACAGAUUUAACAAAUUAAGGCGCUUAAGAGAAGCAUACUGAAGGAACUCGGCAAAAAGACUCUGUAACUUCGGGAGAAGGAGUACCGGAAAAGAAAAUAGAACGUUUUCUUUUAGAGGUGACACCAAAUAGGGGGGGGCGACUGUUUAGUAAAAACACAAGACUCUGCAAAAUCGUAAGAUGAUGUAUAGGGUCUGACACCUGCCCGGUGCUAGAAAGUGAAAAGAAUGCGUGAAAGCGUUGACUCUAAGCUCUAGUAAACGGCGGCUGUAACUCUGACAGUCCUAAGGUAGCGAAAUUCCUUGUCGGGUAAGUUCCGACGCGCAUGAGUGGUGUAACGACUUCCUCACUGUCUCCAGUAUGUCCUUAGUGAAAUUGAAGUGUCCGUGCAGAUGCGGACUUUUUGUAGCUAGACGGAAAGACCCCGUGCACCUUGACUAGAUCUCUGUAUUGCUGCUAAAAAAAGAAUGUGUAGAUUAGGUGGGAGCUGAAAAUGUUUGUAUAUGUUCAAACUAUAGCGCCGGUGAAAGACCACCCUUUCUUUAUUUUAAAGGCUAAUCGUUUGUGCGAGAAAGUGCAUGGUUGCUAGUUUGACUGGGGCGGUCUCCUCCUAAAGAGUAACGGAGGUGUACAAAGGUAGGCUCAAGUCGGUUUCAUCGGCUGUGGAGCGCAAGGGUAAAUGCUUGCUUGACUGCAAGACAGACAUGUUAAGCAGAAACGAAAGUUGGUCUUAGUGAUCCGACGAUUCCAAGUGGAAGGGUCGUCGCUCAACGGAUAAAAGGUACGCCGGGGAUAACAGGCUGAUGACUCUUGAGAGCUCAUAUCGACGGAGUCGUUUGGCACCUCGAUGUCGGCUCAUCACAUCCUGGAGCUGAAAAAGGUUCCAAGGGUUGGGCUGUUCGCCCAUUAAAGUGGUACGCGAGCUGGGUUUAGAACGUCGUGAGACAGUUCGGUCCCUAUCUACUACAAACGCUAGAAAAUUGAGAGGAGCUGACCCUAGUACGAGAGGACCGGGAAGGGAUAACCUCUGGUGGAGCGAUUAUCUUGCUAUAGGUAUUGUCGCGUAGCUACGUUAUACCGAAAGAAUUGCUGAAAGCAUCUAAGUAAGAAAUUGGUCUCAAGAUUAGUUUUCUCUAAAAAAGGUAGAAGACUCCUACCUGUUAAAAUAGGAUUCACGUGCACGCGCCGAAAGGUUUUGAGCGGAGAAUCACUAAUGUAUUUACAUUUACUGUA
rnacentral:rRNA from 1 species